rnacentral:snoRNA from 1 species
AUUCCAUUAUGCUGACACUUCCUAACUAUCUCCUUGAAUCGUUCCUAAGCUUCAAAAACCGUUUCUGUCUUCUUCUAGUAGAAAUUAUGAACUUUCCUUCUGAAUUU